AGUGUGGAGUGGAGAACCUCAAGAGAGCUGAGUCAUUAAACGGGAACCCUCUCUUUAUGAAGGCUCUGGCAGACCUGGUCCAUUCCCACCUGAAGUCCAACCAGCCCUGUUCCCGUCAGCUGACCCUGCGCUGCCCGCUGUGCACCAACCCCACCUGCGGAGAAACCAAGGCUUUCUUCGCCAGCCAGACGCUCUCGUAGAAACACACACUCACACACACUCACACACACUCUGGUGCCCUUCCUGCAGCGAUGCUACCUGUGAAGAAACUUAAGGCCUUCUUCGAUUAACACACAUAAACGCACACCGUCUCUGCACCCAGAGUGUCGGUUACAGAGAAAACACGAAGACCAAAUGUUGUCUGCACAAUCAUUUUGACGUUCGUUUUAUUGUAUUUACACGCGAGGCGUUAACCACGAGACGUUCCUGACUUUAUGAGAAAAAUAACAUCCAGGCACAAAUUAGCAGCACUUAAAUAUUAAUUAACUUAAAAUAAAAAAACGUCCUUAUUUGGGGUUUUGCAGACGCCAUUUGGUGACCAGAUUUAAAUAACCGACACUCUGCGGAGCUCGCUCACAUCACAUCGACGCUACAGGAAAAAGCCUUGCACUAGUUUUAUUUUUGUUUAUUUCAGCUCCCUUGGUUACAUUCCAUUUGCUUUGCCCCUGCAAACCCCCGUCAGAGACCCUGUUGCUCCUCUCGCUGGUGCUAAACGAAUAACGACGACACCACACACACAAGGGAUCUGA